rnacentral:rRNA from 1 species
GAUGAAUGCUGGCGGCGUGCCUAACACAUGCAAGUCGAGCGGCAGCGCGGUCUUCGGACUGGCGGCGAGCGGCGGACGGCUGAGUAACGCGUGGGAACAUACCCCAAAGUGAGGGAUAACCGCCCGAAAGGGUGGCUAAUACCGCAUAUGAUCUUCGGAUUAAAGGAUUUAUCCGCUUUGGGAAUGGCCUGCGUACGAUUAGAUAGUUGGUGAGGUAAUGGCUUACCAAGUCUACGAUCGUUAACUGGUCUGAGAGGAUGAUCAGUCAGACUGGAACUGAGACACGGUCCAGACUCCUACGGGAGGCAGCAGUGAGGAAUCUUCCACAAUGGGCGAAAGCCUGAUGGAGCAACGCCGCGUGCAGGAUGAAGGCCUUCGGGUCGUAAACUGCUUUUAUAAGUGAAGAAUAUGACGGUAACUUAUGAAUAAGCACCGGCUAACUACGUGCCAGCCGCCGCCGUAA